AGAACGAACGCUGGCGGCAUGCCUAAUACAUGCAAGUCGAACGAAUGCCCUUCGGGGUGUUAGUGGCGCACGGGUGCGUAACGCGUGGGAAUCUGCCCUUGGGUUCGGAAUAACAGUUGGAAACGACUGCUAAUACCGGAUGAUGACGUAAGUCCAAAGAUUUAUCGCCCAGGGAUGAGCCCGCGUAGGAUUAGCUAGUUGGUGGGGUAAAGCCUACCAAGGCGACGAUCCUUAGCUGGUCUGAGAGGAUGGAUACGACGCCACACUGGGACUGAGACACGGCCCAGACUCGACGGGAGCAGCAGUAGGGAUAUGGACAAGUGGGACGAAAGCCUAGACUCCAGCAA
rnacentral:rRNA from 1 species